AUUGAAACACCAAUUCCCAUACGAUCAUUGAAGUUAAACAAUUUUGAGCCUGAUCAAUACCUAGAUGGAUGACUACUUGGGAAUUCCGGGUGCUGUGAG